rnacentral:tRNA from 1 species
GUGGGGUUGUGGCUCAGUGGUAGAGCACUUGCCUAGCAUGCACGGGGCCCUGGGUUCGAUCCUCAGCACCACA